rnacentral:rRNA from 1 species
GUCUACGGCCAUGCUACCCUGAACGAGCCCGAUCUCGUCUGAUUUUGGAAGCUAAGCAGGGUCAGGCCUGGUUAGUACUUGAAUGGGAGACCACCUAGAAAGACCAGGUGAAGGUGUAAAAA